rnacentral:ncRNA from 1 species
UCAAGCACGCCACCGAAGUUGUGGCAUUGACAUUUUUUGGUAGGCCUUCGUGGUCCAGCCGUGUUGAUGGGUAGGAGAGCGUCGUGUGGCGAGUGAAGCGGCGGGGUGACCCAGCCGUGGACGCUACACGAGUGAGAAUGCAGGCAUGAGUAGCGAAAGACGUGUGAGAAACACGUCCUCCGAAAGACCAAGGGUUCCAGGGUCAAGCUAAUCUUCCCUGGGUAAGUCGGGACCUAAGGCGAGGCCGACAGGCGUAGUCGAUGGACAACGGGUUGAUAUUCCCGUACCGGCGAAGAACCGCCCAAGCUAAUCCAGUGGUGCUAAGAGUCCUAGCUCGGAAUGUUCCGGAUCUUCGGGGUGGAUGGUCGUCCGUGUGAACGCUCGACCCCAUGCUGGUGCGGCUAGCGUAUUAACAGGUGUGACGCAGGAAGGUAGCCCAAGCCAGGCGAUGGUUGUCCUGGUGCAAGUGCGUAGGCCGACUCUUAGGCAAAUCCGGGAGUCAUGCAGGCUGAGACACGAUGCGGAUAAAAAGUGGGUGAUCCUAUGCUGCCGAGAAAAGCAUCGACGCGAGGUUCUAGCUGCCCGUACCCCAAACCGACUCAGGUGGUCAGGUAGAGAAUACCAAGGAGAUCGAGAGAAUCGUGGUUAAGGAACUCGGCAAAAUGCCCCCGUAACUUCGGGAGAAGGGGGGCCAUCCACUUAG